GAUUCUAUGGUGUAGUGGUUAGCACGGUCGCCUCCUACGCGAUAGACUCGGGUUCGAACCCCGAUGGAGACU
rnacentral:tRNA from 1 species